GAAGCUGGAAUCGCUAGUAAUCGCGGAUCAGAAUGCCGCGGUGAAUACGUUCCCGGGUCUUGUACACACCGCCCGUCACACCAUGGGAGUCGGAAAUGCCCGAAGUCUGUGACCCAACCGCGAGGAGGGANCAGCCGAAGGCAGGUCGGAUGACUGGGGUGAAGUCGUAACAAGGUACC
rnacentral:rRNA from 1 species